rnacentral:SRP_RNA from 1 species
CCGUGCUAGAUGGGGAGUUAGCGGUGCCCUGUUGCCUGCAAACCGCUAUAGCAGGAUCGAUGCUUAUGCUAGGGUAUUAUCGGAUAGAUAUGGUAGACUGAGCGGUGUUGAUAAUCUCAACCUGUUGCAACAUUAACUGAGUGAACCCCGUCAGGCCUGGAAGGGAGCAGCGGUAAGCUUUUUUUUCUGUGUGCUUGCAGUUAAUUGAGUUUGAGCUGGCAA